GGAACCUUGCAGCACAGUGGUUAAGAGCUUGGCUGUUAACCAAAAGGUCGGUGGUUCGAGCCCACCAGCUGCUC
rnacentral:tRNA from 1 species